rnacentral:lncRNA from 1 species
GAAAAUUUUAGUAAAUUAUAGUCAAUUUUUAUGCAAUGAAACUAUAUAGCUCUUUUUGUUAGAAAUUGUCUUACUAACUAAGCUGCUGGUGGUUCUGUGACGAAGUAGCUCCUGUUGGCUUCCCUUACACCGGGUCAGACACAGGACAUUAAUUAAGGCUGUGUGUGGUGUUUCUGAAAGGUGAGGAGACUGGGCAUUCUGUCUUUUACUCUACAGAUACAUCGUGGGAGACUCAAAGAUUAAAAUGUGGCCACUCACUGUGGAUCAGAAGCAGAAUCUCACAUCAUAACCCCAAAUGACCUGUUACUCACCAUGUGGCCCAGCUGUCUUCAAACUCACCAGCCUCCUGCCUUAGCCUUCUAAAUGCUUGGAUUACAGGCAUGACCCACCAUAACUGGCUUUGUUUUAGUUUCAGAGAAGAUGAAACUGAUGUGCGUCAAAAAGCUGGUAGUCUGUCAAGGAAAUGAGCUGAACAUGUCUGUGUACAGCUUUUGUGCCAUCCCUGGAUGAGCGAGCUGUCUGCCUCUAUGUUCUCCACAAAAUGGAAUAUAGCUGUACACCCAAGCCAAGUUAUGGAGGCUGGGAAGACCUAGAAUGUGGCAUCACUAUUUGGAAACCAUGCCGAUUACCGACCGAGCUCUCAAUGGAAAAAUGCAGUCGGCGUGAACCACGCACGAACACAGCAGAGAAAGAAGAAAACACACACCACGAGGAACCCUAAUAGGACAAUACAUUAUAAGUCACAGUGCUACGGAGAAACCCAGUAGCCACAUGGAAGCAGAGACCAUGCAUAUGCAUCUACUCCGCAGCUCUGUGAAUGUCAGCAGCUCCCACGGACUGGAGAUCCCGUGAGAUCCCGUGAGAUCUCACCCAUAGCCUCAUGGUACAUCCACUUGGUGUGCUGGGAGAGUCAGGAUGAGGACCUGAGAAGAACAGCAGCUUGAACCUGACUUCAUUUAACAGCCCACUGCCCUCUUGCCAAGAACCCAUCACAGACCUUCCCAGAAGAGAGGGAUGAGCCUCACCUAUGAAUAAGUCCUCAGAAACUCAAAUUUGAUUCUAAUGGAUUGUUUUCUCAGAAAGACUGAGCAUGUCCCCCCACAUCUCUGUCAUUUCCCACAGUAGUAACCUCUGCAGAUGCCACAUAGAAAACAAAACAAAACAAAAAAACAUGAGGUUGGUGGGCAGAUAGGCAGGGUAUAAACAAACAGCCUUGUAACCCAGAAGCUGUGUGAUAUACAGUAAACUUCACAACACUGAAAAGAUGUCCUAUCUGUUAAAAUGGGGUAAUAACAACUACCCGAAUGUUUAGGAAUAGAACUUCAAUAAAUGAUACAUUUUAUAGUACAGCAGACCAUCCUGUAAAGGUUUCAUCCUUCACUGUGGUGAUAAAUAUCCCAAACCACAUUGAAAAGCAUUGCAUCUACAUUUAUCUACACUGUAACUGUACUGUAAAUCAUGGGGGAGGGGAGAAUCAUAAAAACACCACCUGUCACCGUGUCAUUAAAGCAAGUUGGAAGUGAUACUUACAGAAACACAGCAAGAGCACCCCCAGUCACACAGUUCAAUCUCUUAGCAAGCGUUUUCUUUCUAGCCCAGUGGUUCUCAGUUUGGAAUUUUUGGCACUGCCUAGAGAUAGUUUUGUUGUUAAAACUGAGAAAAGAGCCGGGCGUGGUGGCACACGCCUUUAAUCCCAGCACUCAGGAGGCAGAGGCAGG